rnacentral:rRNA from 1 species
AUACGUAGGGGGCAAGCGUUAUCCGGAUUUACUGGGUGUAAAGGGAGCGUAGAUGGCAGGAUAAGUCAGAUGUGAAAACCCAGGGCUCAACCCUGGGACUGCAUUUGAAACUAUCUCGCUAGAGUGCAGGAGAGGUAAGUGGAAUUCCUAGUGUAGCGGUGAAAUGCGUAGAUAUUAGGAGGAACACCAGUGGCGAAGGCGGCUUACUGGACUGUAACUGACACUGAGGCUCGAAAGCGUGGGGAGC